GCCGACGUAGCUCAGCUGGUAGAGCAACUCCAUGGUAAGGAGUAGGUCACCGGUUCGAUCCCGGUCGUCGGCUCCA
rnacentral:tRNA from 1 species